GCUUACAGCCAUACCAGCCGAAGAACGCCCCGGUCUCGUCUGAUCUCGGAAGCUAAGAAGACUUGGGCCUGGUUAGUACUUGGAUGGGAGACUGCCUGAGAAUACCAGGUGCUGUAAGCU
ensembl:rRNA 5S_rRNA 5S ribosomal RNA